UACGGAGGGUGCAAGCGUUAUCCGGGAUUCAUUGGGCGUAAAGGGUGCGUAGGCGGCGCGGUAAGUCGGGUGUGAAAUCUCGGAGCUUAACUCCGAAACUGCAUUCGAUACUGCCGUGCUUGAGGACUGGAGAGGAGACUGGAAUUCAUGGUGUAGCAGUGAAAUGCGUAGAGAUCAUGAGGAACACCAGCGGCGAAGGCGGCGUUCUGGACUGGUACUGACGCUCGAGGAGCGAAAGCG
rnacentral:rRNA from 1 species